AUUGAACGCUGGCGGCAGGCCUAACACAUGCAAGUCGAACGAGUGGCGGACGGGUGUGUAAUGUCUGGGACAGUGCCUGGUGGAGGGGGAAAACCAAUGGAAAGUGUAGAUAAUACCGUAUACCAUCAGAUGUGCCCAGAUGGGAUUAGCUUGUUGGUGGGGUAACGGCUCACCAAGGCGACGAUCCCUAGCUGGUCUGAGAGGAUGACCAGCCACACUGGAACUGAGACACGGUCCAGACUCCUACGGGAGGCAGCAGUGGGGAAUAUUGCACAAUGGGCGCAAGCCUGAUGCAGCCAUGCCGCGUGUAUGAAGAAGGCCUUCGGGUUGUAAAGUACUUUCAGCGGGGAGGCGUUACCCGCAGAAGAAGCACCGGCUAACUCCGUGCCAGCAGCCGCGGUAAUAC
rnacentral:rRNA from 1 species